UUUAAGAAUUGGCAUACCCGUUGAAAAGCGGUGACGCAAAGCCGUGGGUCUAACGGCAUGAUGCCUAUGACUGCCUGGUUGCUCUU
rnacentral:ncRNA from 1 species